rnacentral:rRNA from 1 species
UGGGGAAUAUUGCACAAUGGGCGCAAGCCUGAUGCAGCCAUGCCGCGUGUAUGAAGAAGGCCUUCGGGUUGUAAAGUACUUUCAGCGGGGAGGAAGGGAGUAAAGUUAAUACCUUUGCUCAUUGACGUUACCCGCAGAAGAAGCACCGGCUAACUCCGUGCCAGCAGCCGCGGUAAUACGGAGGGUGCAAGCGUUAAUCGGAAUUACUGGGCGUAAAGCGCACGCAGGCGGUCUGUCAAGUCGGAUGUGAAAUCCCCGGGCUCAACCUGGGAACUGCAUUCGAAACUGGCAGGCUAGAGUCUUGUAGAGGGGGGUGGAAUUCCAGGUGUAGCAGUGAAAUGCGUAGAGAUCUGGAGGAAUACCGGUGGCGAAGGCGGCCCCCUGGACAAAGACUGACGCUCAGGUGCGAAAGCGUGGGGAGCAAACAGG